rnacentral:rRNA from 1 species
GACGAACGCUGGCGGCGUGCUUAACACAUGCAAGUCGAACGGUGAUGGCCAGCUUGUUGGUCUGAUCAGUGGCGAACGGGUGAGUAACACGUGAGCAACCUGCCCUUCACUCUGGGAUAAGCCCUGGAAACGGGGUCUAAUACCGGAUAUGAGACGCAUCCGCAUGGGUAGUGUCUGGAAAGAUUUAUCGGUGAAGGAUGGGCUCGCGGCCUAUCAGCUUGUUGGUGGGGUAGUGGCCUACCAAGGCGACGACGGGUAGCCGGCCUGAGAGGGCGACCGGCCACACUGGGACUGAGACACGGCCCAGACUCCUACGGGAGGCAGCAGUGGGGAAUAUUGCACAAUGGGCGCAAGCCUGAUGCAGCGACGCCGCGUGAGGGAUGACGGCCUUCGGGUUGUAAACCUCUUUCAGCAGGGAAGAAGCGCAAGUGACGGUAC